GUAAUGUCUGGGAAACUGCCUGAUGGAGGGGGAUAACUACUGGAAACGGUGGCUAAUACCGCAUAACGUCGCAAGACCAAAGAGGGGGACCUUCGGGCCUCUUGCCAUCAGAUGUGCCCAGAUGGGAUUAGCUUGUUGGUGAGGUAACGGCUCACCAAGGCGACGAUCCCUAGCUGGUCUGAGAGGAUGACCAGCCACACUGGAACUGAGACACGGUCCAGACUCCUACGGGAGGCAGCAGUGGGGAAUAUUGCACAAUGGGCGCAAGCCUGAUGCAGCCAUGCCGCGUGUAUGAAGAAGGCCUUCGGGUUGUAAAGUACUUUCAGCGGGGAGGAAGGUGUUGUGGUUAAUAACCGCAGCAAUUGACGUUACCCGCAGAAGAAGCACCGGCUAACUCCGUGCCAGCAGCCGCGGUAAUACGGAGGGUGCAAGCGUUAAUCGGAAUUACUGGGCGUAAAGCGCACGCAGGCGGUCUGUCAAGUCGGAUGUGAAAUCCCCGGGCUCAACCUGGGAACUGCAUUCGAAACUGGCAGGCUUGAGUCUUGUAGAGGGGGGUAGAAUUCCAGGUGUAGCGGUGAAAUGCGUAGAGAUCUGGAGGAAUACCGGUGGCGAAGGCGGCCCCCUGGACAAAGACUGACGCUCAGGUGCGAAAGCGUGGGGAGCAAACAGGAUUAGAUACCCUGGUAGUCCACGCCGUAAACGAUGUCUACUUGGAGGUUGUGCCCUUGAGGCGUGGCUUCCGGAGCUAACGCGUUAAGUAGACCGCCUGGGGAGUACGGCCGCAAGGUUAAAACUCAAAUGAAUUGACGGGGGCCCGCACAAGCGGUGGAGCAUGUGGUUUAAUUCGAUGCAACGCGAAGAACCUUACCUGGUCUUGACAUCCACAGAAGAAUCCAGAGAUGGAUUUGUGCCUUCGGGAACUGUGAGACAGGUGCUGCAUGGCUGUCGUCAGCUCGUGUUGUGAAAUGUUGGGUUAAGUCCCGCAACGAGCGCAACC
rnacentral:rRNA from 1 species